rnacentral:lncRNA from 1 species
CAGCUCGGUAACGCGAGAUUGAUCAGCUUCUUCCAUUCUCUUACACUAUCUUCAACCUCCUCCUCUACUAAAACCUCCUCGUUGAGACCUACCUUGUCUUCCAAGAAACGGAUGUAGAUGAAGAGAAAGACGACAAGGUUGAAGUUUGAGACGACCCCACUCACGGCGAUGCCUUUAAUACCAAACCCGAGAUACGAGACAAAGAGAAACGUGAUGGGCAAGUGGAGAACACUCGCGACGGCCGUGCAGACUGAUAAAGGAAGAGUCUUUGCUUGCGUCCUAAGGUAAACUCUCAAAGGGUGUAAGAAAGAUUGAGCUACGAGGUCAGGAACAGAGUAAAGAAGAAAGAUGUGAGCUUCAGAGGCAAGAUCCUUGUCCUGUUUCAGCAUUUCAAGAAUCUUCUCGAUGUUGAUCCAAAGAAGUGAAACGGGGAGAGAUGUGAGGAGGAGGAGGAGGACUCCUCGCCGGAUAGUGGCUGUGACGAGGUUAUAGCGUUUUGCGCCGAAGGCUUGAGAGCAGAUUGAUUCGACGCCCAUGGUUAAACCGGAGAAGAGGGAGUAACCGGUUAUGUUGGCGAAUGCGAGUGCUAGGGAGCCUCCGGCGAGAGUUGGGCGGCCGAGACCGCCGAGGAAGUACAGACCCGAUCCUCGGCCUCGCCGACCCUCUAAGAACGCCGCAUCCCGUCGUCUGAGGGCAGUUCCCAAGCUCGCAAAGGCCAACGAUCGGCAGUACCAUCGAAGUCAACUUAAUGAUCUCCUCAUCAUCCGUGAAAAGCCUCGCCCACAUGUUUCUCACCGAGACGGUGAACGUGAGGGCAGUGAACCCUAGGGCGAUGCUGAGACCGAGUCCGACAACGGCCGCUCUCCUCGCUCUCAUUGGUCGGUCCGAGCCCAGUUCGUUCCCGACACGUGUCGAGACACCGAAGCUUAAAGAGCUAGGGAAAAUGUAGACGAGAGAAGUGAUUUGGAUGAGUAUCCCCAUCGAAGCAACGGUUGCUUUAGGGUUUAUGAGAAACCCACAAAGCAGAAUCAUAAUCUCGUAGCACCACCACUCGAGACAAACCGAUACGCAGCUCGGUAACGCGAGAUUGAUCAGCUUCUUCCAUUCUCUUACACUAUCUUCAACCUCCUCCUCUACUAAAACCUCCUCGUUGAGACCUACCUUGUCUUCCAAGAAACGGAUGUAGAUGAAGAGAAAGACGACAAGGUUGAAGUUUGAGACGACCCCACUCACGGCGAUGCCUUUAAUACCAAACCCGAGAUACGAGACAAAGAGAAACGUGAUGGGCAAGUGGAGAACACUCGCGACGGCCGUGCAGACUGAUAAAGGAAGAGUCUUUGCUUGCGUCCUAAG